GUUAGGUCCAAGUCCAGUAUUGCGAACUUUGCUGUUAAAAGUGGAACUGAGUAAGUAGGAGCUGGGACCAGGGGGACAUCAAUCCCAGCCCACUCACCAC